rnacentral:rRNA from 1 species
AGUGAACGCUGGCGGUAGGCCUAACACAUGCAAGUCGAACGGCAGCACAGUAAGAGCUUGCUCUUACGGGUGGCGAGUGGCGGACGGGUGAGGAAUACAUCGGAAUCUACUUUUUCGUGGGGGAUAACGUAGGGAAACUUACGCUAAUACCGCAUACGACCUACGGGUGAAAGCAGGGGAUCUUCGUACCUUGCGCGAUUGAAUGAGCCGAUGUCGGAUUAGCUAGUUGGCGGGGUAAAGGCCCACCAAGGCGACGAUCCGUAGCUGGUCUGAGAGGAUGAUCAGCCCGACUGGAACUGAGACACGGUCCAGACUCCUACGGGAGGCAGCAGUGGGGAAUAUUGGACAAUGGGGGCAAGACUGAUCCAGCCAUACCGCGUGGGUGAAGAAGGCCUUCGGGUUGUAAAGCCCUUUUGUUGGGAAAGAAAAGCAGCAGGUUAAUACCCCGCUGUUCUGACGGUACCCAAAGAAUAAGCACCGGCUAACUUCGUG